GGGGGUGAGAACCUCACUGUGUCCUUCCACCACGCCGGCCACAAAUAGUGCCGAACAUCAAGGAGACGCGCAUGACAUUUUGGUGCCGUGACUCGGAUCAGGGGACCUCCCUUGGGAGAUCAAUCCCCUGUCCUCCUGCUCUUUGCUCCACGAGAAAGAUCCACCUACGACCUCGGGUCCUCAGACCCACCAGCCCAAGGAAAAUCUCGUGAACAUCUCACCAAUAUUAAAUCGGGGGCUGAAGAUUGACGCUGCCCUAUUGCCUUGGAAGCUUCCUAGACCAUCACAGAUGCUUUGGGUAACUCUUAGAGUGGAGGUUGAGACACUAAUGUGUGAAGACAUGAAGCUUGGAGCUUUGGCAACCAUCUUGUGAUGAUGAGGGUGACAGAGCAGAAGAUAAACAAAGCCUGGUAGAGACAUCGGGGCAAGCUAGUCUGCUUUCCACCGGAGCAUUUCCCUCCAAAGAUGCAGGUGUGUGGAAACGAGACUGCAGGGAGAACUUCCAGGCAACAAAGGAUGUUUCUCUACUUAUCUCCUCCCUGGAUGGCUGUAUAAGCCAGAUGAUGGUUACCUGAACACUCUAGAAAAAGAAUUCACAGAGGGUUUCACAGGGCACGGCCUCGCAGUCUGGAGGGAGAAGAGGGCAAAGCGGUCUUCACGGACGCCACCUACUGCCUGGCUGGGCAGAGAGCCAGUGGAUCAGAGAGGCCGGCUCUGUUCUUGGCAGGAAAUGAGGAGCUGGCAUGGAAAUGCCACCCAGGCUGGGAACAAGAUCUAUGGAGUGGCAGCCUGAGUGGGUGAGGUGAUCCAGAGUCCUAACUGUCUCCUCUCUCAUCCCUUCAACCAAACUUUCCUGAGCAACUCUGAUGCCAGGCAUUUCUAGCACUGUGACAGAACCUGAGGACAGAGGGCCCUGCUUCAAAGGUAACCACCUGCCUCCUUCUGCUAUCACAGGGCUGACCUCAGUGCAGCAGAGGGCAGAGCUUGGAGGCAGCUGCUGAGAAUUUGCGCUCUAAAGACAUCCACCUAAAUCACAAGCUUUAUAUCUGGGCAGUCAGCCAGACCUCCUGACCAUAUCCUGGACUGCGGACUUUGGAUGGUGGAACGGGGGUGGAAUUGAACAUUAAAUGAGCAACAUGCUAAUU
ensembl:lncRNA